GGACUAGCUAGCAAGUUAGGUUGGGCAAGGCCCUACGUGAUGUCAAGGAUCCUAUAUGGAUAACAUCAAAGGCUAUCAUCAACCCCUUCCUAACUUGUGCUGCUUUUAUGUGUUAAAAGACACAUAUAACAUCAUGACGGUUGAUUUGAAUGAGUUCACCAAAGAGAGAUCCAAGAAAUAAGACAACAACAGGGAGUGUUCAUGUUAUAUCUUCACAACAAUCAUCCUCUAGAAGAGUGAGUUGUGUAAUUGUGUUCAUGUUAGAAAACAUUAGUUUAGUUGUGUGUAGGAUUGAG